AUUGAACGCUGGCGGCAGGCCUAACACAUGCAAGUCGAGCGGAUGAAGGGAGCUUGCUCCUGGAUUCAGCGGCGGACGGGUGAGUAAUGCCUAGGAAUCUGCCUGGUAGUGGGGGAUAACGUCCGGAAACGGGCGCUAAUACCGCAUACGUCCUGAGGGAGAAAGUGGGGGAUCUUCGGACCUCACGCUAUCAGAUGAGCCUAGGCCGGAUUAGCUAGUUGGUGGGGUAAAGGCCUACCAAGGCGACGAUCCGUAACUGGUCUGAGAGGAUGAUCAGUCACACUGGAACUGAGACACGGUCCAGACUCCUACGGGAGGCAGCAGUGGGGAAUAUUGGACAAAGGGCGAAAGCCUGAUCCAGCCAUGCCGCGUGUGUGAAGAAGGUCUUCGGAUUGUAAAGCACUUUAAGUUGGGAGGAAGGGCAGUAAGUUAAUACCUUGCUGUUUUGACGUUACCAACAGAGUAAGCACCGGCUAACUUCGUG
rnacentral:rRNA from 1 species